rnacentral:Y_RNA from 1 species
GGGUGGUCUGAUGGUAGUGGGUUAUCAGAACUUAUUUACGUUAGCGUCACUAAAGUUGGUAUACAACCAACCACUGCUAAAUUUGACUGACAAAA